GGUUCCGUAGCUCAGCAGGAUAGAGCAGCGGUUUCCUAAACCGAAGGUCACGUGUUCGAAUCACGUCGGGACCACCA
rnacentral:tRNA from 1 species